UACGAAGGGGGCUAGCGUUGUUCGGAAUUACUGGGCGUAAAGCGCACGUAGGCGGACUGUUAAGUCAGGGGUGAAAUCCUGGAGCUCAACUCCAGAACUGCCUUUGAUACUGAUGGUCUCGAGUCCGGAAGAGGUGAGUGGAAUUCCGAGUGUAGAGGUGAAAUGCGCAGAUAUCGGAAGGAACAUCAGUGGCGAAAGCGGCUUCCUGGACCAGUACCGACGUCAGGCACGAAAGCGUGGGGAGCAAACAGG
rnacentral:rRNA from 1 species